rnacentral:tRNA from 1 species
CGUAUGUGUAAUUUAAAAAAAAUAUCAAGCUGUGACCUUGAAAAUAGAAAACAUCCUCACAUACCA